ACUGCAAUGAAAUGUUUUGAAGAACUGCACAAAAAAAAAAAAAAAAAGAUCUGAGCGCUACAAUUUCUGGAUUCUGUCUGAUUUUUUUUCAUCACAAACCAACACUUGGUGUCAGGAGUGGGAUGCGACGCCGAUGUCCAGAUAAGCGCUAAUUACGGGUCCAAAGCAGCAGACAAAAAGCCUCAAAGUGGCAGAAGCAGCGCCAGUGGAGGAGGCAGAGCAGGAAGGAGCUACAGGUCGGUCCAGUGAUGAAACAGCAUCUGUGGACAUGAGCAACAUUGCUGGCAUGCAGGAAAUAUGUCUUCAGUUCCAGAGUGACUUUGUUGAAAGAUGGGACAAAGAAAAGAGUAAGCAAGAAAGGAGAUGGCACCAGAUACAAGUUGAAGUUGGCAAUCUGAGAGAUGGUCUGGGGAGGCAGCAGAAGACUGAAGAUGAAGCUCAAACCGGCCCUUCUUCAGAAGCAGAUGUAGAGCCAGCUUCUCGGCGUCAUUCUAGAGUUCUUUGUCACCAGAGCUGAGAAUAUGGGUCAAAGAGAGGAACCCAGCAUCGGCACAAGAAGCAGCAAAACUUGUUGAAAACUUCUUAGCUGCAAGACGGGGACCACAAAUCUUCUGGUACAACUUCAACAGAAGGCCAGCUUAAUGCAGGUUCCGCAGGUGUCCACUGGCAUCUCUCCAUUUGAACUUAUGUAUGGCAGGUAGCUGACGGGUCCUCUGGAUGUUCUUCAAGAGUCCUGGGUUGGCACGAGGGAUCAGUCAACCAAUGUCAUCAGCUACAUUUUAAAUAUGAGACAGAAGAUGGAGGAGACAACCAACCUCAUCAGAAGGCACCUGGAGAAGGUUCAAUAGCAGCAACAGACCUGGUAUGAUAAAACGGCCAGGUGCAGAUCCUUCAAACCGGUCAGAUGGUUCUUUUAUUACUUCCAACAUCUGACAAUAAACUUUUAGCAAAAUGGCAGGGGCCAUACACUGUUGUAAAGAAGUUAAGUGCUACCACUUAUGAGAUUGAGAUGCCUGAGAGAAGGAAACCAAAGCAAACCUUUCAUAUCAAUCUGCUUAAGGAGUGGAAAUCCUGGGCUCUGCCCCUUAGUCAGCAGUGCUUUGUGUGUGCUGUGGAACAGGAUGAUGAGGCUGAGAUGCCAUCUGUAAAAUACUCUGUUAUUUCACUUGACCUCUCUCAUCUCACCCUCACCCUGCAACAGGAGUUGGAGGCCAUUAUUCCUUCAGAUCUCUUCAAAGAACAACCAGGUUCAACAGUCUGAAGACCAGUGUCCCCAUUAGGCAACGAAUGUAUCGUAUCCCAGAGAGGAUGUCUCCUGUGUUGAAGGAGGAAAUUGAGGUCAUGUUGAAGCUUGGCGUGAUUGAACCAUCCACCAGUGAAUGGAGAAACCCGGUGGUUUUGGUAAUCAAGAAGGAUGGAGCAUCUGUUUCUUGACUUUAGAAAGGUAAAUGCUCAAUCAGACUUUGAUGCCUACCCGUUACCAAGGUUGGAUGAUCUCAAUGAAUGUGUUGGUCAGGCUAAAUAUAUAAGUACCUUAGAUCUUUGCAAGGGAUAUUGGCAGGUUCCUCUAACAGAUGCUGCUAAGCCAGUCACUGCCUUCAGGACCCCGCAGGGAUUAUGGCAGUUUACAAAGAUGCCUUUUGGACUUCAUGGUGCACCUGCCACAUUUCAAAGACUGAUGAAUAAGGUACAGUCAGGUAUGGAGUCAUUUACUGCAGCUUACCUUGACAAUAUUGUCAUUUACAGCAACUCAUGGCAAGAACAUCUAAUUCAUCUGAGACGGGUGCUGCAGACCAUCAAGCAAGCCGGCCUGACUAUUCAUCCCAAGAAAUGUUCAUUGACAAAGAAGGAGCUCCAAUAUUUAGGCCAUAUCCUGGGUGGAGGAGUCAUAAAGCCAGUGAAAGACAAGGUGGAGGCAAUCAAGGCAGCAGAAAGACCAACAACCAGGAGGCAAGUCAGGUCCUUUUUGGGCCUGGUAGGUUGGUAUUGUCAAUUUAUCAGGACAUUUUCUGCUAGAGCCGCUCCUCUUUCUGACAUUACUGGAAUAUCAAAAGCAAAAAUUGUGUGGGGAGAAGCAUAGGAGAGGGCCUUCCAGGAUUUGAAGCAGGCACUGUGUCAAGAGCCUGUACUGCAGAGCCCAAACUUCACUUUACCCUUCAUCGUUCAGACUGAUGCAUCUGCCAGGGGAAUUGGUGGGGUUCUUUUGCAGGGAGAAACAGAGAAGAAACCAGUCGCCUACAUUAGUAGGAAGUUGUUUCCGCAAGAAACCAGAUAUUCCGUGGUGGAACUGGAGUGUCUGGGUAUCAAAUGAACGAUUGACUCUCUUAGAUAUUAUCUUUUGGGGCGAGAGUUCACUCUGGAGACUGACCAUCGGGCACUGAAAUGGUUGGAAGCCAUGAAAGACAUAGUCACAUAACACGAUGAUUUCUGUCUCUUCAACCUUACCGGUUUAAGAUGGGCUACAUUCCAGGAAAAGAGAACCCAGCCGCAGACUUUUUGUCUUGCUGUGAACCACAGCGAGUCUCCUGAAGGGGAGGCAAGUGUGAGGGAUUUACCACCUCCCUAACAGGUGCUGUUUUUUGUUCUUCUAAUAUCCUCAUUUAGUUGGUAAAUGUAUUGCUUUGUUGGGAGGAAGUAAUUUGCUUUAUUUAAUAUUUUGUUUUAAUAAUUCCCUCUUCUCUUUGAGGUCACCUGGUCUUGUGUUGCCAUGGAAGUGUGCCCAUGAGCAGGGCUGACAAGGGCCUGGUGUUUUCAAUCAGCCUCACUGGAAAAUCCAUUGUUUGAGAGAGAGGGGAGAUGUUUUCUAGAUUUUGAUUGGCCCCAGAUUGUUUUUGUUUUAGUUUUCAAGUUGUUAGUUGUAAUUAUGUAAAUAUUUUUCUAGGAAUAUAGUUUAGUACAAAUGUUUUUCUAUAUGGAAAUGGAAAUGUUGUCUCCACCCCUGAAUUAGUCCAGGUAGGAGCCAAUGCUUUAAAAGCCAGGUGGUUUAGAUCAGGGGGAGUCUCUCACUCCUGUUGUUGGUAUGUAUGUCAUGCUGUGAACUGGAAUGAAAUGUUUUGAAGAACUGCAUAUAAAAAAAAAAAAGAUCAGAGUGCUACAA